GCAAUUCAUAUUUCUGACAGAUUAUGCUGAUGUGCCUGUGGCUAAAUGGCACUCAGCAAGUGAGAAUGCAGACUCGCAGAGAGAACCAGAAACCCCAAGCUGCUUUCCAAAGAAGCAUCUGCAGCCCUGCCCCAGCAGUGGCCAAUGCGCAGCUCUGAAUUCUGCUAUGAGUCACCCAGCUUCCCUCUCCUGACCAGAGCUGUUCAGGGUAGAGACCCUGUGUCUCGGUUCAGCAGUCAUGCAUCUGUUCACGUGCAGACCUCUGGAAGCACAGGAAACGGGUUGCCAAAAAGGGACACCAGAGAACCCCCAAGUAUGAGCAAGACUCAUCAGCUCUCAGGGCUCAGCUGUCCCCCGGGUCAUCUUGACGGGCACAUCUGUCUCGGAGUGAAGUCACCAAGGAAAAACCCAGCUGAAGAAAAUAUUUUCAGGCAGUCGUCAUUUGAAUCUUCGGAAAAGGAAGCGAGCCGAUAAACUGCCAAAGAGCCCCGGGAUUCAAGGUGGCCAAAGAGGCGCAUGGAAAGUAUUUGCCUUGGGAAUGUGGGCAGCUGAGCUAUUUACACAGUGUGUGGCCAGCACGACGCAAAUGGACCAGAAGCUCCUAGAACUGUUUCCUCUUCCCUUUCCUUUCCCCCUUUCCCUUAACAGGAUAGCCAGCCAGCAGAGGCUCCCUGUAAACCUGAGUCAGGAGGAAAGGCCGUGGGUGAGUGACUAGCAGCCAGGUGAUAUAGGGCAGAGGCCAGCAGACUCACCUUGUUUGGCUACAUUUUUUUUCUAAAUUAGUUGCUAACAUUUAAAAAUCAGAUUCCACACAAAAAUCCGAAUUCCCAACUUCUCUUUGAAAUCCUGGGCCUGUAAUCCCGGACAGCGGCCCCUGCCUGGGGCUGAGCAGCAGCCACUUAAGAUGGGACCUUCUCUUCCCCUGUCACUGGGUCCCGCUGACACAGGUCACCUGCCCGGCCCCUGGUGGCAUUUGAGUUUGAGCCGCUGGAUUUAGAGACAAAGGGGAAAGUGCUGAGGAAAGCCAAAGACCUCCACUGUAGUCUACUCACUGGCCAUGUCAACGCGGGCAAGUCACCUACUUUGCUGAGCUGCUGUUUCUCCCUCUGCAAACAGAAAUGAAAAUGCACAGCAAGGCCUCAUCCCCAAAACUGUAGGGAGGACUAGGUAGGAAAACACGGGACAUGCUUGAAAACCUGAACACACACCAUGCAAGUAAGAUGUGGCCCUUCGGGUCUGAAAGAUGAAAUAGAACACCAAGACAAAACGGGCCUCUCUGAUGAGAUGAGUAGCGGAGGAAACGACAGAUCACACAAAAGCUACCUCGGUGGUCACCGGCGGGGGCUGAGAUGGAAGCCAGGAUUUCUAAACCACCCAGCCCCACCAACCUGGCCCUGCCUGCGGUACCACCUCCCCACCCAGAGAAGUGGAACAUCACUGUGGUCGUGGCUGAGCAGUACCUGACUCUGACCAACCUCUGCCUCUAAUUAGUUACAACACAAUUUAGAACCCGGGAUGGUUGGCGUUUGGGACUUGCAGCCACGGCCCAGCCCAGGUGAGGCGAGGAGACACUCACGGAAGCACCUGUGGUGGGGCCAGGAGGAAGCCUAGCAUCCUGGCAAUGAAACUCAACACUCAAAAUGCUAGGAGUAAAUCACAGGGCACUGUGGCCUCUGGGGAUUUCACAGUGUAGCGGCCAACUGCAUUUUGAGGGGUGACCCAAAAGCUCCUGGCCAUCUGCGGUCUUCCCCACCAGCCUGCCUAAAAAUGAAAGAAAUGACAGACAUGACCGCAGAGGGCUACCAAUGGGCUUCUCAGAAGAUAAAGAGAGGUUUAAAUGAUAAAGGCAUCAGUCCUAUAUCUGCCCCAAAGCCCUCCUUAAGGCCACAUGUGGAGAGCGAGCAGCUGUGAUACCAGAAGGGAGCACAUGGCACGGUGGGAUCUGGUGCCUGUCGUGGCAGCAAUGACUCAGGCCACCCAAUCAGGGCAAGACUCAGCAAGGUCUGCCAGCUCCCAUCAAGCCAGAGGCGCUCAGAGGGAGAAGCUGUAAGUGCUUGCUGCUCUCAGGAGCAAGAGGUCAUCUUGCUUCUUACCAGCUCCUUACCAAGGCAUCAUAUGUGACGGACAUGGCUCCCUGGUGUCCAGGGGCUCCAGGGGCUCUGGGAAGAUAGAGCAUGUGCAGCGUCAUGCCCCAGCACACUGACCCCACAGAUCUAAUGGGACCAUGCUGAACAUAUGAGGAUCACAAAUUCCAUGGGAGACCCUAAGAUCUACCCUCAGGGACAGCUAAGGCGAUUCUGGAACAGGGCUGCCAAAACAGCCAGUCAAUCACUAAAGUUCCUAAUUUACCACCCUGACAACUCUCCCUACGGCUAGCACCCCUUGCUCUUCCUAUCUCUCCAGGAUCACAACAGCCUGUCCUGCCUUGGGUGUGCCUUCCUGCAACCCACUCUCCACUCAUCAGCCUUGCAGAUCUUUCUAAAACAUCAAUCUGAUCAUGCCAAUUUCAUCAUGUCCCUCCCCUGCUUUAAACCUUCUGUGGCUUCCCUAAAGCCUGCAGGACAAAGACCACAGACCACACAUGGACUCUCAAGGGCUCUCGCCUCUCCCCACCAAUGCGUCCCUUCACUCCCUGGGCUGUUGCAAAACUGAUCUGGUUGUGUUUGCCAACACACACCACACUGCUUCAUGCUCCUGAACCUUUUGUGCUGGCCCCUCUGGCUGGAAGACCCUUCCCCUAACCUACCGAGAGAACUCUUCUUCAUUCUUUACCAUGCGCAAUUAUCACCUCCUCUUUGCACUUUUUGCCCAAUGCACUCAAAAAGGCUAAUCGCUUCUCCCCUAUACCUCACACACGCAUCUGCUUCUCUGCUGAGAGGACAUUCACGUGAUCUGGUGAUGACAUGAGUGUUACCCCCACUAGAGUGAGCAUUCCUUGAGGACUGGAAAUGGCCAGUUCAUUGCUGAACCCCUAGGCCCUACCUGGCACACUGCUUUCCCAGAGUUGGGAAUCGAUAAAUAUAGGCUAACAUAAACAUGUGGGAACCCCGCCAAGACCCAAGAGUCUGGUUGAGAAAGCGGAAGAGUGCUCAGAAUGCCUAGCCCUUACUGUGGGGUCUGGCUUAAGGGCGGGGUUUCUGAAGCAGAAAGGUAAGUUAAGUAAGGGUUGCCUCACACCCAGAGGCCAAGAACCAGAGGCAGCAGCAUCCAGACUCAGUGAGGUCCCACAACCAGGGCCAGCCCAUCAGGGAGAGAGGCAAACAAGAGGAGCUCUGGAACCAGGACCCAGGCAGGUAACCUGGGCUGGCUCCUGGACUCCUUUGUCCAAUCAGACCACCCACAUUUUCUGACAUCAGUGCUGUCCCUGGAUGCACUGGGCACAGCUGUGAGUGCUUUCUCCUGCAGAUCUGGGAUAGGGCUACAGGAAUUCAGAAGAGGAAGCUAUUACUUUGGGAGAAAAAGGGAAAAAAUUAAAAAUUAAGGAAGCUUCAUGGAAAAGGUGACAUUUAAGCUAAGUCUUAAAAAGAUGAGGAAAAUGUGUGUGUGUGUGUGUGUGUGUGUGUGCGCGCGCGCGUGCGAAGUGGAGGUUGGUAUUUCAGGAUUGAGAAAAGCAUAAGCAAAAGCCUAGAAGCAAAAAAGCACCAACAGCACAGCCAACAGCACAGCCAACAGCACAGCCAACAGCUUGGCUCAGCUCAGCACUAAGGGCCUGGCACGGAGCAGUUUGCCCCAGAGGGAGGCAAAAAGAGGGAAAAUUGUCUGUAAGGAAUUUAAAACAAUACUGAAACUGAUGGGCUUUUUACCAUGACCAUGAGCUGGCGAUUCUGAUUUAAACAUAAUCCAACACCUCCCCCAACAACCUUUUGUCUAAUUCUGAACAAUUGCUGCAUUAUUCUUGACUUUUAAUAAUAUAUGUAAGCUUCAAAUUCACACAGACUAAUUACCUUUUCAUAAACAUUACAUUCUCUAUGGAAGUUAAUUCAAAUAACUCAUAUUAAUAGUUGCAAAGCCAGCCCCUGACACCCGUGGACUCAGCUACCCAUGUUUCAAGAGCAAGUUCACAGGAUUCGGUAUCAGUGGCACUCACUUUGGGGUGGCUCGUCCCCCGAGUCCUGUGGUACGAUGUGUUCCUAAGCUUGAAGACCAGACCAAAAAUAAAGGCUGGAAGCACAGUCAUUGUAAAGACAAAGAAAUAGAACCUGGGCUAUUCCAUCCUCUCAUUCUACCAGACCACUUGGGAGUUUCUAUUUAUGUUUCUGACUUUUCAACAAUGAGAUGUUAAUCAAUCCUGAAGAACUGAAGAACAGGACUUUGUUGCAAUGUCUGGAAUUUACUGUGAAAUGGGAUUGUUGUGAAUUUCUGCCAAAUUUUAUGUUUAAGAUUUAUCCUAUUUGUAUAUCUGCUGUUUCAACCAAAAGAAAUUUUUCAAAAUUAACAGGAAUAAAAAGUGCUCUGCGACCAGCUUUGAGGGAAGAUAGACCAA